rnacentral:rRNA from 1 species
UACAGAGGGGGCAAGCGUUGUUCGGAAUUACUGGGCGUAAAGGGCGCGUAGGCGGCCUUCUAAGUCGAACGUGAAAUCCCCGGGCUCAACCCGGGAACUGCGUCCGAUACUGGAAGGCUUGAAUCCGGGAGAGGGAUGCGGAAUUCCAGGUGUAGCGGUGAAAUGCGUAGAUAUCUGGAGGAACACCGGUGGCGAAGGCGGCAUCCUGGACCGGCAUUGACGCUGAGGCGCGAAAGCCAGGGGACGCAAACGGG